ensembl:lncRNA
CUCAGGACCUUGCACUUGUGGGGCAGACAUGGAGCCACUGAGCUACAUCCCUGCCCCGCAUAUAUGUUUAUAAUUGUUAUCUCUUCCUGUUGAAUUGCCCCCUUAACCAAUAUAUAGUGACUUUGUCUUUUCUGAUCAGUUUUGGCUUGAAACCCAUUUUGUCUGAAGUUAGGAGAGCCAACUCCUGCUUUUCUCCAGGUUCCCAUUAUAUGUAGCAUUGUUUACCAUUCUUUGAUUUUUAAUCUUGAAUUUCUUUUUGAAUUAAAAUGUGUUUCUUGGAUACUGCAUAUCACUGGGUUUUAUUUCUUUUUCUUUUUUUUCUUUUUUCUUUUUUUGGUACCUGGGAUUGAACUCGGGUCCCUGUGCUUGUGAGGAAGGCGGUGGAACCACUGAGCUAAAUCCCCGGCCCUAGGUUUUAUUUCCUGAUCAAUUCUCCUGAUCUGUGUCUUUUUAUUGGGGAAUUGAGAGCAUUCACAUUGAGAGUUGUUACUGAAAGUUAUUGAUUAUUCCUGUCAUUCCAUUAUUUACCUGUUGCUGAUUUCCUUAUUUUAUUUUUCUUUUGCUUAGGUGCUCAUUAGGUGUAUUCAUUCUUUCUGAUUUAUUAGCAUCGUUGGAUUCAUUGUCUCUUUUGUUGUCUUUUUUUUUUUGGUACUGGGAUUGAACUUGGGACCUUAUGCUUUUGAGGCAGGCAGCAGAACCACUGAGCUAAAUCCCCGGCCCUCAUUAUCUCUUUUUAGGAUAUCCUUGAGAAUUUUUUGUAAUGUUGGCUUGGUGAUCAUGGAUUUCUUGAGAUGUCAUGGAAAUACCUUAUUUCUCUGUCAAUUUUGAAGGAAUGUUUUGCAGUAUACAUAAGAUGAGGCUGGAAGUUGUUAUUGUUUAGGGUUUAACGAAGCUUUAAAGAUAUAGGAGGUUGGGAAAAGGGGAAUGCAAGAGGAAAAAUUUGAAAUUUAAACUAUAUGAUAUGAGAAGGAAGAAAGAGUAGUGAUAUAAAGGAUCCUAUUGGGGAGAAAAGGGUUCUUUAUAGAAUUAGGUAAAGAUAAGAGAAAAAACUAAUGAGAGAUAGAAGAUAAAAGAAACAGAUGGAAGCCAAGUAUGUUAGUACAUGCCCAUUAUCCCAGGACUUGGGAGGCUGGGGAGGGAGGAUUGCUCUGAGUUCAAGGCAAGCCUGGGCUACAUAGUGAGUUCAAGGCCUUUCUGAACUACAUACCGAGAUUCUGUCUCAAAAACAAAACAAGGGCCGGGGAUUUAGCUCAGUGGUUUUGCCACCUGCUGCGCAAGCGCAAGGACUUGAGUUCGAUCCCUGGUACAAACCCCCCCCCCAAAGCAAAAUCAAAACCAAAAAAGAAAACACCCCCAAAAAGAAAGAAAUUAUAUCAGAAAGAGAGAAGAAAACUUAAAGGAUGAAAGAUUAAAAGGGAGAAGAGGAAAAAAAUAAAGAAAAAAAUAAAAAAGACUUAAGAAACAAGGAAAAAGGAUAAAGGAAAAUCCCUCAAAUCUCAAUAAGCUGGAAGAAAGGAGGAAAAGAAAGAAGAAACAACAACAACAACAACAAAAGAUUCUCUCCAGGAUAGAAUUUCAGGGAAGAAAAGGAUUGUGAAUCUUCUUUUUGAUCAAGAAAUUCUGAGAAACUGGUCUCAAUUCCCUGGAAGCUUAUAGGAAAUAAAACCCACUUGGCAAAACCCAAAAGAGAACGAAAAUGUCACUUUAAUGAAAUGUUUUGCAACAUCCUGGGUGGUUUGUGUGCUUUAGAGUUCAUGCAAGAGCGA